CAUUUACCCAAAGAGGGUGCCACGACCGUAUAACAUUAAUGAUUACUAGAUGGUGUUUCCAAAGAGUCGUGUUGCUUGAUAGUGCAGCACUAAGUGGGUGGUAAACUCCAUCUAAAACUAAAUAUAACCAUGAGACCGAUAGUAAACAAGUACCGUGAGGGAAAGUUGAAAAGAACUCUGAAUAGAGAGUUAAAUAGUACGUGAAACUGCUCAGAGGUUAAGCCCGAUGAACCUGAAUAUCCAUUAUGGAAAAUUCAUCAUUAGAGUUUUAAUAUUUUAAUAAUAUUAUAAUAAUAGUGUGCAUUUUUUCCAUAUAAGGACAUUGUAAUCUAUUAACAUAAACCAAAUUUAUCAUAAAAUAUGACUUAUAGUUUAUUUAAAUUAUUUUGCUUGCAUUUUAACAUAGAAUAAAUGUCAUUAAUUUGAUAAAGUGUUGAUAGAUUUAUAUGAAUACAGUGCGUUAAUUUUUCGGAAUUAUAUAAUAGCAUGAUUAUCAUUGAUUUUCUGUGUUUAUUAUAUGCACUUGUAUGAUUAACAAUGCGAAAGCUCCAGGAUACCUUCGGGACCCGUCUUGAAACACGGACCAAGGAGUCUAACAUAUGUGCAAGUUAUUGGGAUAUAAACCUAAUAGCAUAAUUAACUUGACUAAUAAUGGGAUUAGUUUUUUAACUAUUUAUAGAUAAUUAACACAAUCCCGGGGCGUUCUAUAUAGUUAUGUAUAAUGAUAUUUAUAUUAUUUAUACCUCUAACUGGAACGUACCUUGAGCAUAUAUGCUGUGACCCGAAAGAUGGUGAACUAUACUUGAUCAGGUUGAAGUCAGGGGAAACCCUGAUGGAAGACCGAAACAGUUCUGAGGUGCAAAUCGAUUGUCAGAAUUGAGUAUAGGGGCGAAAGACCAAUCGAACCAUCUAGUAGCUGGUUCCUUCCGAAGUUUCCCUCAGGAUAGCUGGUGCAUUUAAAUGUUAUAUAAAAUAAUCUUAUCUGGUAAAGCGAAUGAUUAGAGGCCUUAGGGUCGAAACGAUCUUAACCUAUUCUCAAACUUUAAAUGGGUAAGAACCUUAACUUUCUUGAUAUGAAGUUUAAGGUUAUGAUAUAUUGUGCCCAGUGGGCCACUUUUGGUAAGCAGAACUGGCGCUGUGGGAUGGACCAAACGUAAUGUUACGGUGCCCAAAUUAACAACUCAUACAGAAACCAUGAAAGGCGUUGGUUGCUUAAAACAGCAGGACGGUGAUCAUG